CACAAAGGGUCCUGGCUCCCUUCUCCCCACUCUGUGCCCGUUUCCUGAAUUAUCAGCCUCUGUUUGUGAUUCUCCUCCAAAGAAGAAUUCCUCCGCUACCAUGGCACCGACUCCUGUUUCAACCCAAAUGGCCUGGGGAAGUCUGUUCUAGUCCUCCACCUCUCUCAAAGGAUUCUUCUGGACCCCCAAGAUCAGUGCUCCUUGCAAGCUGCGCCAUGAAGGAAAGACGGAACAUUUAUCUGGAAUCAGAGUUGACUUUUCUAAUCCAGUGUUCCCAAAGUCUGCUCUACAGAAUACUAGUCUUGUGGUCUAUUGCCCUAAAGGGUUGUUUAUUG
rnacentral:lncRNA from 1 species